rnacentral:misc_RNA from 1 species
CGUAACAAGGUUUCCGUAGGUAACAUCGAAGGAUAUUAAUAAUGGUCUACGUUUUUUAAGUAGACGCUAAUAAUCCUACCUUUGAUUUGUUGUUUGAAAUAAUUUUUUUUAAAAUUAUUGAUUGUCUUUCCCUGUUGAAUUGGUUGUCUUAAUGGCAAAUGAUUCGCAGGGAGUGUCAGUAUUUUAAAAAGACCUUUUUAAAAUUAAACUUUUGUAUUCAUUGUCUAGAAUUAUUUUAUAAUAUAAAAACAACUUUUGACAAUGGUCUUGGUUCUCGCAACGAUGAAGAACGCAGCAAAUGCGAUAAGUAGUGUGAUUGCAGAAUACGUGAAUCAUCGAAUCUUCGAACGCAUAUUGCACUUUUUAGUUACUAAAAAGUAUGUCUGUUGAGUAUCAGUAAAUAUCUCAUAAAAACUUUUUGUUUUAUGGUUAUGAGUGUUUUACAACGAUACAGUUGUUUCACUUUAAUUUUUUAAAUUUGAAUUUUCUAAUUUUAAAAUAAAUUGGAUAAAAUUUCCCGUAAAAAGAAUAACCUAACAAUUUUAAUUUUGAUUAGAAUUCUCAAUUAUAAAGGAAAUUUAACUAAUAACUUGAUCCCAAAUCAGAUAGAGUACCGCUGAACUUAAGCAUAUCAAUAAGCGAGGAAAAGAAACUAACAAGGAUUCCCUUAGUAAGGCGAGUGAAGCGGGAAGAGCUCAAUUUGAAAUCUUCAAGUUUUACCUUACGAAUUGUAGUUAAAGAAGUGUAUUCGUUGAAGUUUUGGUAAAGUUCUUUGGAAUAGGACAUCAUAGAGGGUGAGAACCCGUAUUUGACCAUUAUUUUCACUGUGUGAUACACUUUCAAAGAGUCGGAUUGUUUGGAAUGCAGUCCAAAUGGGUGGUAAAUUUCAUCUAAAGCUAAAUAUUGGCGAGAGACCGAUAGCGAACAAGUACGUGAGGGAAAGAUGAAAAGAACUUUGAAAAGAGAGUUAGGCAGUACGUGAAAUUGUCAAAAGGAAGCGUUUGACACCAGUGUUGUUUUCUCGAAAAUCAAUUAAAAAAGUUGGAUUUUGUGUGUAUUGACCUUAACAGCUUGCUUCACUCUUUUCUUGCUUUUUUUAAUGCACUUUUCGUUUAACAAGUCACAUCAGUUCUUUUGUUGUAAAAGGUCAUUGGAAGGUGGCUUCUCUUCGGAGAAAGUGUUAUAGCUUUGAUCUCUGCAAUCGGAGAGACUGAGGUCUGCAGCGUAGAUCCUUCGGGUUAGAUACAUUUGUCAGCUACAGCUUUCAUAGACAACUUGUUGACUAUGUUUAGUCUUGUAACUUACCCGCUUAUGCUAUUUUACUACGCUUAGGAUGUUGAG